rnacentral:tRNA from 1 species
GGCCCGUUGGUCAAGUGGUUAAGACACCGGCCCUUUCACGGCGGUAACACGGGUUCGAAUCCCGUACGGGUCACCA